GGAUUGGGAAAGUUGACAUUAAUCAACUCAUUAUUCCUCACAGAUUUGUAUUCUCCAGAGUAUCCAGGUCCUUCUCAGAGAAUUAAAAAGCCUGUACAGGUCUAGAUAUUGGUAUUUUUAAUUGAUGAUAAGCUGGAAUAAUAUUAAUACACACAAAGCACGUGUUGUAACUUUCAUUAUGCUUCCUUAGAGCUCUGUUCACGGAAAGGGCCUGGGAGCUGCAACACCUCAACAGCAACAAGCACACCUGCUACCUAGAACUUGGUUUCUAAAAACCAUCCUCCUCUAAAAGGAAACAGAGCUCUUUGAAGAAACGGUAAUUUCAAAGCUAGAGCACAGAAAGUAUAAGAUGAGCCCAGAAUAUCUUUUUGUACAAGAAAGUAAGGCAAUGCUCAAAGAAUGAUGGAGACAUGCCCAAAAAAAGCAGAGAAGCCAACUUGAAAAGAUUCCAACAGGCCAAAUAUGGGGCGAUUUGAACAUCAGAAUAAAAUGGUGACAGUCACAGAAUUAUAA
rnacentral:lncRNA from 1 species